rnacentral:lncRNA from 1 species
ACUCAUCGCACAAGGCCUUGGUUCCUUUACAGAUUCCGACAAGCCUCGACGUCUGCAGCCUGUGAGGCCAACAGCGACUUCCCCUGCUCGCUAGAUUCCACAAUGCGCACAGCUGCAUCAAUCACCGCCUUCUGGAACCUAUCAUCCUCCAUCUUUCCAAGGACCUCUCUAACAAAUUUAAAAUCCACACCACCAGUAACAAUCAGCUUCCCUACAAUCUCACCAAAGUUGUUUGGUGCCUUGGGGAGAUCGAUUCCAACGUCGUCCAGCAUAGCACCGAACAUCAAGCACCCAGUUUCAAGAUCCUUGGGUGUGACCACCUUCUUGGAUAGCAGAUACACCAAGAGACUAGCGAUGGGCUCAACAACAGGUGGGCUUUUCUCAAGGGCUAGAGUAAUUGCUUCAUUCACAAACUCUGCGUGGUAUGAAGGCGACGCAAGGUCCACCAAACACUGCAUAGCUUCAUCAAGAAGUCGGACAUUGAAAUACUCCUCAAGAAGCGACUUUGUUUUGCUCUUGAGAACUUCCUCGCUCAGCUUGGGAGCAGCACUAGCCUGUGGUUUCUCUACCGGAGCCGGUACAGCCACAGGUGCAGCUCGCUGAACCGGUUGUUCUGCUGGGCGUGAGCUGCUGCCCUGUAACAGGGCGCUUGUCUUACCACUCAUGAACCCGCUGCUUCCUUGAGGCAAGAGCCUCGUGUUCAUUGAGGUGGACUUGCCCAUUGCUGGAGAAUGCAGAGGUCCAGGCCCGUCGCGUCUAGACAUUGACCUUGUCCUGGGAACCUCCCAGUUAUCAUUGUCCCCCACAGGCGCUCCUGGCAUCCUUCGCGUCCCAGGCAUACCAGGCAUCAAGCCACCUGCACCAGGUCGUCCUCCAGGGUAGAUAGGGCCAGGACUCAGAGGCCCGCUACUAGAAGCCAUGCCCUUUCUCAUGUUUGCGGUGGCGCCUGGUCGGAGACCCAUAUUCUUCUCAGCGUCAGAAUGGAUUUCUGUUAUAGUCUUUGCUUUCAUCUGCACAAGAACAUUAGAACGGUUAAACAAUGACGUAACUUUUAAUGAAUCUUGAGAGUUUGAAGGCUAGAGAUACCUCUUCACGCCUUGGAACCCAUCCAUUAGAGCGCAGAUCGAUGAUAUUCUGAACCAUGAAUCUCAGACGCAGUUCCAGAUGAGGAUUCUUUGACAGAUCCUGCAGGCGUUUGAAGUAUGCAUCAUUGAUACGUUUUGACUUCAUGUUUCCAUCAAGCUGUUUCCCAAUGGUUUUGAAGAAAUGGCAAAUAGCUUCAACAUUCUCCUCUGCUGGACACGCUUUCUCAUCAGCCCCCAGAAGCUCCUAUGCUCAGAACAAAAUAAUAAAAGGUUAACACAUAUACUACCAAAGCAAACAAAAAAUGUUUUAAGAAAAUGUGUGGGAGUCAACCUGAACGAUGUGAUGAACAAUCUUUUCUGGAACCAUCUUCUGCUUGAGAAGCUCACCAAUCAGACGAAUGUUUCCUAGGGUCUUGAGCUUCAGCAACUUCUCUUUGUCGCUACGCUCAGCCUCCUGAUCUGGAGCACUCAUCUGUUUAAGCUCCUCCCUCAGAUUGGAAGCGCCUUCAAAGGCCUCUUGGCAGAUGUUCAGCAGAACCCUCUUGAAUGUGAUCUCUUUACCCCCAGGCUCUUCAGGUGGGAAGGUGGGUAGCUUGUCGUUGAUGUCAGAGCACAACUCAGCGUACAUUGGGCAGAACGUUGGCUCAAGGACAGCUUUGUCAAAGAUAAGAGUUAUCACACCCUGCAAAUGAAAGAGAAUAACACUCGUUAGCUACGCGAAGAGCCUGGAUGAUUUAAACAAGACUUUACUUAUACUCACCUUUAGGAUAUCAGCAGAUGUGAUGCCAGCGUCAAUGAGUUGGCCCUUGAGAAGAUCAUACUUUUCAGGGGUAAGCUUGUUCAGUAUCCUACACAAGAAAAGGAUUGUAUUUGUCAGUGUGCAAGCACGAUUUAAAGAUUCCAUGUUGUCAGUAAAGUCUAGACCAGGCAAUACCCUUUGACAGUCUUCAGGACACGGUCAUUUUCAGAAAGGUUUCCUCUUCUAGCUGACCAAGGUACUUCAGCUUUGACGAGGACAGGAGCUGGUCCACCCUGCUUCCACACCAUAUACAAGUAAGAAAGUAACAUAAACCAUGCCAAAAGUGAAAAAAAAAAACAUAGAAGAGGAAAGUAAAAAACACAUUAAUUAAGUGAAUAAUUACCCCUUGGUUGGAUGCUUGCCCCCUAGGUUGGCCUUGACGAUUGUAUUGGUUUGCUUCAACAUACCUGGAAUCUCUAGCUUCACGGAGAUUCUCCCACGACCUUUCUUCCCCAGAGGGUGGUGGUUGAGCAGCAGAACGGCUGCGCCAAUUGCGAGUGUCUGGCUCAGAGAAGCGACUUGCGGAUUGAACCGGAACCUAUAGCAUUAAAGAUUAACAGAUCUGUGUUUGAAAUUUCUUAUAACAAUGGAAAAGUGAUGGUGCGACAAAAGCAUACCACAUUGCUUACGACAGUUUCUCCACGUGCCCAAGUCUGUUCCUCACCAAACAGUUCUAGUUCAGUUUCCCGUUUGACUUUCAGAAUUUCAUCAGAGAGUUGAGCGGUCUGUGUAUAUACAGAGACGUCAGUAACCUCAAAUAAACAAAAACAAUAGCUCAAAAAAGACCAGCCUUGAUUCUACUCACCUCUUUAAGUUCCAGAAGCUGUUCACGGGUGUACUUCACACGUUCACGGCCAUCGAACCUCGAGUCUCCACCCUGAAACAAAAACGUAACCGAGGAUGAAUCUUCACUAACUAAGACUCGAUAAACAAAAAUAUACACAAAGGACAAGAGCCAAAAAUGAAUUAUUCGUGAAUUCUUAGGCUAAGAUGAUUAUGAAUAAAUAGAAAUGUCAAUAGGUCCUUUAUGAGCAGAUAGCAGCUAACAUAAUGCCCACCUAAAAGCCUACAUAUCAUUUUACGUCCAUAUUUACAGCAGCUACACAUACUUGCGUGCGCCGCUAAGAAUCAGGACAACACAAAUUGCUACCUUAUGAAGUUUAAUUACACAUGAUUCUAUGUGGUCGGAAAGCAUCCAAUAUCCAACAUGAGCUUCAGUAGUAAUUUUAUUACACAAGGCACUGAAACUCGCAAAAUCAAAAAGCUCUAAGCUAAUUAUGUAUGCUUCAGACACGUGAUUCUAUGUGGUCGGGACCCUAGAUCCAGAAUCAAGAGGGGAAGCUAAAAAAAAGGAAGGAACCUUGAAGGGGAAAGAGGAAGGAGGAGCACCGCCAUGAGGACGAAGGAGAGGUAGAUCGGAAGAGGAAAGAGAUCCAAAGGAGAUGGACGAAGAAGAGGAUGAGGAACCAAAGAUUCUGUUUCCUCUACCGCCACCAGGUCUCAAGCUCAAAACCGAUUUAUCUCCCUGCUGCAUACCGAGAUCUAAAUCACCUGAGAUCGGAUCCAAAAUCUCCAACAACCAAAAAAAAGAACAACGAAACGAUAGAAGAAGAAACUCUUCUCAGCGACGAUCAAUCCGAGAUUCAAAGAGAAUCAACGGAAAGAGAUCGGCUUUUGUGUGCGUUGUCUCUCUUUCUCUCCUUGUCGAAGAAGAGAUUGAGAUGAGAAGAAGAAGAAGAAGUCGAGAAGGAGACACAAUCUCUUCUCUUUAUUACCGUCUUAUUCCUUUUUUUUUCCCUUACCGAACCAUAUAGCCUUUUUGCUUUUUUUCUUCUGUUAAAUUACUGUUGUGUCCUUGCUUUGUUUUUAGUUCCGUCACCUAACAUACAUUGGUUUUUUCGUCAUUAUACUUCUAAGCAUUUCUAGUUUAAAAUGUGAAAAGGUGAAUGGAGCUGCCUUGGCUCGUGUACACCACCAGCAAGUCAACAAGUACACUUUGUUCUUCUAAUCAUGAAAGACUUCACCAACAAUUAGUAAUCUUGCAAGUUGCAGUUCCACAUCUCAAUAUCUUUAAUUACAACCAACUGUCUGUAACAAACUAAAGAGGGCAUUUGUUGACACAAGCAAGAGAGAAUGGAACAACUUGAAAGCGGUUUAUAGGCUCCUCCUUUGCGUUUUGAAUAUAAUAUUUUCUCCUGUUGAAGCAAAGGUUCUCCUGAUACCAGCCAGUUUAAAAUCUUCAUGAGAUUGAGAAUUCAGCAGGCUGUGGAAUGUCGACAUCCUCAAACUCGUUGUCGUCUGCACAAGAAAGAAUGAGAUUCAAUUCAUCAUGCCAUUCAUAGAGAAAUAUAAGACCGAUGGGAUUUAAACAGGGAUCAGAUUCAGCUAUAUCCAGCCACGAAGAUCUUUUAGAGAGAAUGCAUCUAUCCAUACAAAUCAAUAGAGUUUGAAGGGUUCACAAGCAUAUAAAAAAUUUUGGUUACUAGUUAAUCAAAAUGAAUAUUCAAUGACGAGUAGUCCGUGUUACCUAUAUGCUACUAAGGUCAAUAUAUAAGGAGCAAAGGGAAAUGAGGGAUCACCUUUUCUCAAAGUCAGAGCCAGUACUGCAUCGUUCUCAACCUGAACAACAAAACAAAGAAUAUUAAAGCGAACAAGUCACAGCCACAACUAUAAAAAUACGCAAUUGGAGGCUGUGUCCACUGUUCAUAUGAGUAACUUGAACAACAAUUGUUAUUCAUUCCCUGUACAUGAUCACAACCUUGUAGCUUAAUAUUACGCAAUCGGAGUUUUCAUAUGAGUAAAGAUCAUAGUAGCUCUUCCUCAAAUUGAACAAUGGUUAUUCGGUCUCCAACAUGAGACAACAGUCAAACGUUUGAUACCUUCUGCUCCGCUAGAGAUUUCGAAUCCUCUAAUACUUCCUCAGUAGACAAUAAGACCAGACGCUGGUUACUAACUGGUUGCUCAAUGAGGGUGAACAGUUUCUGCUUCACAUCCAAAACAGUCUCGGUCGGAUCGCAUUGGAUAAAGUAAGUGGCUUUCAUGCGCUUCACACGAAUAUACAUUGCCUGCAAAACAAGAUCAACGCACACUAAUCAAUACCCUAUAACCAACAUGGCCAGAUUCAAAUUCUCAGCUCAAAAAGCUCUUAACUUUCCCAGUUAAAUAAACAAAGAAUGAAACCAACAAAGUAAAAAGAUAUAUGUAAUACCAUGGCAAGAAUCUGGCUUCUUUAUUUCGACUGUCAAUGUAAAACUCUCUCACUCACCUCUCUGUAUAAGGUAAAGGAAGAAAGAACUAUUGGUGGCUUGUUUGACUUUUAGGUUUAAGACUAUUGUCGGUUACAAACCCGCUGAAAGAGACAGAGUGUUUGUUUUAUCUAACUCUCUAAAAGUCCCACAUCGGUAACCAAACAAACAUUUGAGGGACGAGAAGCAGUAUAAAGGAAGAUGCCAAGCAACGUAACAACUCAUACCUUUCUCGGCCUUUUGGCUAAGAUCAAGUGUAGUAUCUGUUCUUAUCAGUUUAAUAUCUGAUAUGUGGCCCAUCGGGUCACACGAUAUUAACUUUAUUUUUUGAGGGAGAAGGCCCGUUAAGAUAGCUUGCUAUCUGGGCUUUCAAGAGUCGCCCAUGCGUUGCACUACUGCACGGGCUGGCUCAACCCGCCAAUUUUAACAGUUUAAUUUUUGGUCCCUCGGCUUAUAAGAUUUUAAACGUAUUAUCUCUAAUUAAUCGGAAUUGUACUUUUGGCCCCAUUCAAGUGAUUAAUAUUCUAAAUGGGCUAAUGGGCCUACGUGACUAUAUUUAAGUGCUAAAAGUGGACAAAAACUAAACUACUUUAGCUUCUGCUUACAGUUGUUGUCCUAAAAGUAUCUAAACCGCGUUAAAUUUCGAAUCAUCCUCGAUCUCGUCGUUUCUUGUUUUCUGAUCUCGUAGGCUAAUCGGGAGAGAGAGAAGAUGGUGGAGAGAACGUUGAGUCUAGGGUUCGGAGAAACCUCAGGGGUUAGAGAAACAAUGUGGGCGCAGCAAGAGCUUCUUCAGAAGAUCAGUCAAGAGCUCGACGAUGAGCGAGAAGCCUCGUCAUCAGCUGCUUCGGAAGCCUUGUCGAUGAUCCUACGCCUCCAGGGAGAGAAAGCAGCGCUGGAGAUGGAGACUAGUCAGUACAAGAGGAUGGCGGAGGAGAAGAUGUGCCACGCGGAGACUUCUCUGACGCUCUUCGAGGAUCUGAUUUACAAUAAGGAGAUGGAGAUCGCUUCUCUCGAGUUUCAGGUUUAGGCUUACAGAUGCAAGCUGCUCAGCGUUGGGGUCUCUGAUCCAGCUGUCGUGGAGAACAAGUUCCCGUAAAAUCUCGUCUUCUUUGGUGAUCCCUCUCGUGUAAAUCAAAAGAGAAAGAUGAAACGAAAUCUAUCGGUAAAUGCUUUAUGUUUUCAUAGUUGAGACUUGAGAGAUGAUGAGUAUGAGUUUAAUGUCUUGUCUGUUGCAGAGUCCUUUUGAUGGUAUGAGCAGUGAGAGAAGGAGCCUGCUUCUGUCUGAUGGUAACGGUGACAGUUCUUUAUCUCUUGGUGAAGACUUGAGUGCUUAUUGGGAAGAGAUGAGGAGAAUAGACGACCAUGUUCGAGAGAUUUCAGACACGAGAGAUUCUCCCAAGGAGUCUAAAUGGCCUUUGCUUAGGCACAAGUCUAUGUCACAUGCGUUGGUUUCACAGGUCAGCAAUACUAUACUCAAGUCAGCCAAGAGUGAUGUCAGUUCGAUAAUGGAGAGGAUGAAGAACCCUGAUAGAUUGUCUGCCGCAAAAGAUGCUUUGUCUCCAAAUCUCCAGGACAUCUUCAAGAUUCCGAGGACAAAGGAAAGCCUUACAAUCAUCGAAGAAGAAGAGGAAGUCGAAGAAAGAAAUGUAAGUAUUGAGGGAACUAGUCUUUUGAUAAAAACAAAUUUGGUCAAAGUGCUGAUAAUGUGUAGAAGGAGUCACAGGUUAGAGGGAACAUGGAGAGUAGUAAUUACGAAAGGGAAUUGAGUAAGCCACCGCCAAGCAUCAAGGAAGAACAUAUGAGUUUGUUAAAGGAGAUUAGAGAACAGCUCAAUGCAAUGCAGUCUGAGAUGAGAAGCUUAAGAUCAGAACUGCAUCAAACUCAACAUGUGUCUCAUCUGGAGGAGGAUCCAGCCCUUAACUCAAUUCAAGAGGUAAUCACUUCUCUUUCUACUUGGUGAGAGAUGUCUAAAUAAUAUUCAGAACUAAACAUUUUGUGUUGUUUCUUGAAACAGGCUAUGAUUCACUUCUGGCUUUAGAAGCUAUAAUGCCUGGGAGUGGUUCUAGUUUCCCAUAUACAGACCAUUUGUAUGUUACUUAAGGGAUGUAAAAAGAAACUGAUAUGUAACUGCACUGGCAUUAUUGUGAAAACAAAAUCUUUAAAUCUCUCAUGAAAGUAUCUAAAGUUGGUCCACAAAGGUUAGGAUGUCAUGUUAGUUAGCGGAUACACAAAAUGCAUGAAGGGUUAUCGAGAUCAAGAGUAGUGCCUCUCAAACACUUGAAGUGGUAGACAUGACCACAAGCCAGCACGCACGCUUCUUGCAAGCUCCGCAAAGAAGCAUUAGGUCGUUCUGGAUCAGAGGCUAGAUCUCUGUCGCAUAAAUCGCAUACGUGUCCAACUUCCUCAGCAUCAAACACCUUGUCAAGCUCUGCUUAAAAAGCCCCAAAAAAUAUCAAACACAAGAAAAAAGCAUAUAGCUCUCACUCAAGUAUUGAAUAGAUUAUUACCAUCGCGAAUCUGCGGUUUACUCUGAACCUGAGCAUUCACAGUCUUGUCGAGAAGAAGUUGGACCUCUUUAGAGAGCCUUUGAAGAUGAUGAGAUGAAGUGGAAGCAGAUGAUGAUGAUCCUGACGCUUUGAGCUCAGAAGUGGCUUUCUCAAUCUUCUCUUGAAGCUUCAGGAGCAUCUCUCUACUUCCAUCGUCUCCUUUUGAAUCCAUGUUUCGCACGCACAAGUCGACGAAACUUCUGUAAUCGAAGACAGUCAAGCAAACAAUUAAAAAGAAAAAAACAAAGUCAAAUUUUGUUUGACUUGUAUAAUGCGAGAAGGCGCUAUUUGGUUGAAACUUGUGUAACAAGAUAUUACGUUUACGAAGCAAGAUUACAAUUAGGGUCCAAACCAAGGAACCCAAAGCGUCCGCCGUUAGAAUCCACAAAGCAAAAUCGUAACUUUACGGAUCGCAAUGAAGAAAUCAAUCAAACGACGUUUAUCAGAAAUCAAAAUCGAAAAAAAAAGAGAAGGUAUAUCAACGAACAGUGUUGAAAAGGGAGGGAUUAUGUUGCUGCUGCUGUUACUUUGGAGUGAAAUAUAUAUGUUUAAACAAGCUAUAAUCGACAGCUCGUAUCUAUGUAUCUCCACAUAACUAAGCUUUUUUUUAAUUAAGUGAUUAAGGAGACCGACACGUGGGCUGAAAACGUAGGCUGCUAACACGAGGCUAAUCUGGAUCCACAUGCCAGAAUAUCCAUGUAUAUUAAAAAAAAAAGAUUAAGGGACUACAAAAAGAACAGAGUUCUCAUCAAUGUUCAAUCUAGGCAUGCCGGUCCGGUUUAUUCGGAUAGUACGGAUCGGUUAGUUCGGAACUCAGUUAGUUCAGAAUUAUGUUAGUUUGGGUUGGUCAAAAUUUCACCGAAAAAGUUUGGUUCUGUUUGGUCCGGUUAAUUUGGUCCUAAAAUAUUUAACCAAAGGUUUUUGUUUUGCGGUUAAUUCGGUUAAAUUUUCGGUUUAAAUUAAAAAAGUCAAAAAUGGUUAAUUUCUGUUAGUUGUUAUUUCGGUUUGUAUUUUGGUUAGUUUGGUUAGGUUCGUUCGGUUAUUUCGAUUCAGAUUUUGGUUUAUUUGAUCAGUUCAGUUCGGAAUUUGGUUAAAAUUGGUACUUUUUAGAUUUUUUUUUAGAAAACUGAACUUACCGAUUAUCGAACCAAAUAUAAGAAUUUUUUUUUAUCGAACUAAGAGAAAACCAAACUUUUUGGUUCGGUAAGUUUGGUUUGAUUAAAGUUCCCAGCCCUAGUUCAAUUGUUAAGAAGAUGUUAGUCACUUUAUAUGAGAUUACUAAUUAGGCGGAUGUCUAAACUGAUUUUUGAGUCGGCGAAGAAAAGAAUAUUUCAUUUUGGUUUGAUUUGCCGGCGAACGCAUGCGUACAGCAUUUACCGAAUUUAACCUUUGUUUUCUUAUGAAAUUUUUUUUAAAAUUAGUAUGAGCUUAAGAGUUUGCCUGGUUGUAUGCACUUUAUUGGGCUUUUCAUAAGCACCAGAAUUUCAUUAAACUAGUAUUUUUGUAAUUAAUUUGUUUAACCAGGUUGAAAAUCUGAUCAAGCUUCAGAAAACAAAUUUAGAGAGACAAUUUUUUAAAAAAAUUAAUGUUUAUGGACGACUGGUUCGGCUGUCCUAAAAUAGUAAGAAAUAUGUUUUCCUCCUAUUUGUAGACUACAAGUUAAAAACACUUGGUUUUUUUUUUGGAUUUUGUAAUUUACUACAAAUAUCCAUCAAACUCGAUCUUGUAAUAUUCCGCAUUUUUGGGCUAAUAAUCUCCAUGAAUAUAAAGGGUUCUUCUACCUUCAAUUCUAAUAAUUCACACACACACACAAACAAAAGACUAGACUUUUGGAUAAUUGAGAGCUUAAUGACCAAAAAUAACAAAAUUCUCGGACAGGAUCAGCUGUUGUACUUAAUCAAAGUAUCCUUAAUUAUCUCCAACUUACAUUUGACUGUAAAACCCACCACACAUUCACUCACUCACUUACACACCUAUACUUUAUAAUCUUCCUCCUUUCCAUAUAUGCAUUCCUCAUCAAACUUAACACCUCCAUAGAGAUUUUUUUUAUAACUCUCUUGAUGGCUGAUAAUGUCCAAGUAGUACCCAUUGAAGAACCAGCCUCGACCGCAACCGCCACAGCCACCGCAACAACCAAUGAGCCAGACACCAAAAGCUCCGAUCAAAUGGAGUCACAAAGCGACAAGCCACCCGUUGGAAUGUUGGUCACAAUCGUAAACCUUUGCGCCAUAGGUGUUCUUCCCAUCUUCACCUUCUUUCUUUCUCUCACACUCCUUGGCUACGCUGUGUGGCUCCUCUACAUGCGCAGCUACGAAUGCGAAGACAUCCUCGGUCUCCCACGUGUCCAGACGCUCGCUAGCGUCGGCCUCCUUGCCGUGUUCGUCGUCAGCAACGCGGCUCUCUUUCUCCGAAGGAAGUUUCCUAUGCCCGCACUCGUGGUGAUGGUGGUGAUUCUUUUGCUGAUGAUGUUCAUGGGUUUGGCGUACGCAGGAGUCAAUGAGAUGCAGAGCAGGCGGUUUCCGGCUACUGCGAGGUGGUUUAAGCUCAAAGUGAUGGAUGAUGUUAAUUGGAACAAUAUCAAAUCGUGUGUCUACGAUAAAGGAGCUUGCAACGAGCUUUUUUACCAAUAUCCUAAAGAGAAACCUUACAAUAGAAGAAAAAUGCCACCAAUAAAGGUUUGUUCAUGAUAGAUAUAUACAUACUUUGAUCUCAUAAAGUGCAACUGGUUCAUUCUAACAUGAUACCUAGGCCUGGGAAUUUUUCUUUUCUAGUCGAACCAAACAUAAAAUUUCGGUUUUCGAUUCAGUUUUGGUUAGGAUUUUGAUUCAGUUUGGUAGAUUAAAAAAUGGUUAUUGGUUUGGUUUGGCAAUGGGUUACUUUGAUUUUUCAUUUUUUCACAAAAAAAUACAACCAAACCAUAUUAAUUAUAACCAAGAAUCCUAACCAAACUAACUGAAUUAAACAAAUCUAACUGAAAUAAAAAACUUCAGUUAAGUUUGAUAAAAAAUUUAAAAACUGAUAUAACCAUAUACCAAGCCAAACCGUGCUAAUUCGGCAAAUUGAGGCUAAACCGAACAUGAAAACGUUACAUAUGCACAUGACGUUUUGUGAAACAUUUGUCCAAGAUUUUCAAAUAGUUUGAGACGACCAUUUUCCAUCUUUAAGCAUAUAUAUUAGUUGACAAAAGCUGUUUUGAUUUUUGUUGUUGUUGCAGAAUGGAUGUUGUAUGCCGCCGGAGACAUGUAACAUGGAUGCUUUAAAUGCGACGUUUUGGUAUAGAAGAAAAGACGAGGGCCCACCGUUGGAGACUGAGGUGCUGUAUGGUGGGAUGGGCGGAAUACUAAGCGACUGUGAGUUAUGGAGGAACGAUUGGAGCAUAAUGUGCUAUGAUUGUAGAUCUUGCAAGUUUGGAUUCAUUAGAUCUCUAAGAAGGAAAUGGUGGCAGCUUGGUGUCUUUUUGGUUGUCAUCUCUAUUCUUCUUCUCAUCUCUCACCUCUUGAUCUUCUUGGCCACCUUUUGGGAAAGAUUCAAGGGUCAAUAAUCAUCAUGGAGGUGGAGAUUUCUAUGUGGUAAAAUAAUUCAUUUGUUCUGUAUUCAUUUUAGUACUCAAGCAGGUGUUCCUUCAAGCAGAUCUUUAGCUCUUCAUCCUUUCUCUCUGUCUCUUUCUCUUUGUUCGGUUUAGUGUAAAGAAUGUGUUUGAAAUAAAGUACAAACAAUUGGUUUGAUUCAGAACUCAAAAAGAAGUUCUUGAGUCCAUUGCUGAAUCUUUGAAGCACGGGACUUGAAGGUUAGAACUUAAAAGCGUCAUUGGUCGUAUAUAACACUGGUCGUAUAUAACACGGAUGAGAAGGUCUAAUAUUUUGCAUGUGCAUGUGAAUGCAGCAAAUGUGGUAAACCAUGUUAAAUUUCUGUGUUGUUUUGCAUUUAUUCAUAUGUUUCCGCACAAUUUUCUCCCAUCCUUUAUACUUCUUCCGUUUUUAAUAGAUGACGUUUUAGUAGAAAUUUUUUACUCUAAAUUAGAUAACAUUUUAGUUUUCAAUGUAAAAUUUAUAAACUUUUUAUAUUAUAUGACUAUCUGUAAUUUGCAGUCUAAUUUAUUAUUAGUUAAAUUAUAUUUAGAAAAAUAAUUAAUGAUGUUUUUGAUUGGAAAAUAUAAAAAAGUAAAUGUUUUCUUAAUAUAGAAUAUAUGUGCAUAAUUUUAAAACGACAUCUAAUAAAAAGGGGAGGGAGCAAGAAACAAAAUAAAAUGUAACAAAGGAGAGCCACAAUGAAGAUACUUUGUUCUUUUAUUGUCCUAAACUACCAACAGAGGAGUGAUCAAGCUGGAUUAUUUAAGCUUCUUGGAAAUUAGGUGCACAUAUAAAUACUAUUAGGGAGAUAGAAAAAGUGGAAUACAUCUUUAAUAAAAAGGUCUGCUUUAAUAAAAAGGUGAAAUUCUACAUUUUGUUUCCCUGCUUGCAUCCUUCAUCUGUACAAAGAAUAGCCAAUCUUGGGGAGAGUCAUAGACAACAAACAAAAGGGUCUCUUCACACUCAAUUAGUGAGUGAAGACACAGAGCUAAGGCCGUGUCUCAUGGCUGCUUCCCACACCAGAUCAAUACGGUCAACGUCAAUGGCUCCAACCUCAUGAUGCUUCCAACCCUCCAGCAUAUGAACCACUCCUCCUGCAUGGCAUGCAUGCACCACUCCUCUCUCCAUUGUGUACUGCCGCAACACAACAAACACACACUUAAGAGUUUAGCCUAAUGGACUAAAAGGAUAAACACUCAAAUAAGACUUGAUUAGUAACCACAGUUCUUUAUACCUCGCAGGUUCCUAGUCCUUGAACAUCUUUAGGGAGCCUCAUAGCUGCAAGAUCACCAUAAGUGCAGUUCCUUCUAAAUUUGAGGAUUGGUGGCACCACAAACUGGUGGAAAUGCGUUCCUGCAGGAGCCCAGCUCUGUUCCCUUGGUGUCAACCAUUUCCCAACGAUCCAAGUCUGCAUAUACAUAGUUCAAACACCCCCAAAGUCAAUACAUUUACGUUAACACACCAAAUGAAAAACAGUUAGAACUCAGUACGCUACCUUGCAGUUUUGAGCAGCGUUGUAUUUGGUCACUUGCACGAGGUAGUUUUGGAACUCAGCAGGAGCUUCUUUCUGAAUCUUUUGGAAUCUCUCUAUCGACAUAGUCAACAUCUGUAAAUUGUUUUAACAUCUGUUAGACUCUGAGACAAUGUUAUUAGUUCGUUAAGGAUUAGUAAGAAAACUUACGAGAACUCUCACUCCACGACGACAGAGGUAAAGAGCAAUGGCUCUUCCCAGCUUAGAAGUGGCUCCUGUCAAGAACACCUCUUCCACACCUUUUGGAAUUUCAUUGAGAAUCACAGCUGCGGUUAAAGUGUUCCCAUGAACCACACGAACUCUAAGGUCAGGAUGCUUGUUCACAAACAACGUCCCACCACCAUUUAAAGCUUCGUUCUGAGAACAAACAAAAACAUAACAAAAAUAAGUAACCUUUUAAGUGACUUGACUCAGAAGUUACUAACUUGUACCUUGUUCAAAGCAGCCAAGCUUAUGACUUUAACACCAAUCUUAUCAGCUCUCAGAAUCGCAGCCUCUAUCUGAUCAUUAAUGCCUUGUGUAGCAAACGGUAAGAAGUACUGCAAAACAGAGGAAAAUGCUCUGUAAAACACUCUGUUCUCUCUGUUUUCAAGGGGAGUAGAAAGAAACAGAGAUAUUACUUGGAAUCCGAAUCUGGGAACUCCCCAAGUCUGGCAAAGAUUGUUUCUAAGGGUGUAGAAGCUGAAAAGAAAAGCCUUUGACCAAACCCACAUGCCUAACAUCACCAUGAAAGUGAACGGCCACAUGGGAAGCAAGAAGAGCCUCGUCGUGUAUGGCAUCGAAGCGAACGAUCUGAACACAAACGGUGCGUGCAUCGCCGACAUCACAUCUACCCCAUGAGCCAAGAACACAAACUCCGGCGCCCUCUUCCGUUCCCCUGCACACAAAGAUCAAUUCAGUUUUUCAAAAAAAAAAAACAAAAACUGUAACUUUGUGGUCAAGGAAGGGGUACUAUUGUCUUUUCAAGUCUUUGGCUUUACAUCCUUGACUCUGACCACUCAUAAAUUGGCUUAACCUGUUUGGUAUUGCUGCCAAAUUUAUUCAACUAGUCUGGUACUCUCUGUAGUGUCUGGGCUCACUUUGUCUCAAAAAUUUAUUUAUUCGAAGAUUUUUCUCGUUUCAAGAAGAGUAACAUUCUAUAUUUCCUUAUUUUAAGUAUUUGAUUAUUUUUGACCUUUUAAAUAACCAACAAAUUUCUAUUUAAAUUAUUUUCAUUUAAUUAAUUGUAUAUUAGAUAAAGUAUAAUUGUAUAUUUGACCCUUUUCGUCAAUGUGACACUUUUGCAUACGGAAGGAGUAAUAGUUUUGGUAUAUUAAAGCAUCUUCAACACCACUCUAUUUUUCACUCUAAAAUAGAGUUUAGAAUGAAAAAUGCUCUAAUGGUAUAUUAUUUAUCACUCUAUAAUAGAGUGAAAAAUAGGUUUACUCCAAAUGUAGAGUAAUUUGUUUUUUUUUGUUCAUCAUUCUAUUUUUACUCUAAAAUAGAAUGUACCAUUGGAACAAAUUCAAACUCUAUUAUAGAGUUACUCUAUUUUUUAGAGUAAGCCAUUGGAAAUGGUCUUAUUACCUGAAGCCAAACGAAUCUUCUUUUGGAGUUCCCAUGAGUUUGAGUUAAGUGUGUUGCCCAAAACAUCAAAGAGAGGCAUAAACAGACAGAAGUUGGUCCCCAUUUCUUGAUGAUGCAGAGCAUGGUACCUGCAUGAUCCCCACCAAUUAAAUCAAACUUUUAAACAUUUUUUUUAAAUUCAUCGCAAGUAAAAAUCAUAUUAUAUAUACAACUAUAAACUAUAGAAAUCUUUGCUUCUUAGAGUGAAAAUAUGACAAAGUCACGUUCGUGUGUGCCUUAUUCAAUGAAUAAGUUAGAGAGCCUUUAUUGGAAAACUUAUGGUGUGUGGAGGAGCCAAUAGAUCUAACCAAAUCCACACAAAAAAGUUAACAUGUGAAGUACUUUUCAGAAAGGGUAAUAAGAUACACGUUAACAACAUACGUUGGAGUGUAGAUGAGAUAACGUAGGAUUGGUAGAGUCUCGAAUAACUUGUGAGAGAAGAUUUCAACGUUGCAAUGUCCUAAACAUCUUAGGAAAUCAAACAUGAUAGCGUAUCCGUAGAUCAAGCUUAUUGAUCCAACACCUAACAAGCAAGAACCAAUCAAAGGAACUCCAGCUACGACACAUAGGAUAAGGUUUUCCAAUAACGUCGCAUUUCCAGCUGCACCCAACAGAUCAAAGAUUGUUACUAUUACAUAAAAACCAAAGAAACAUUCCUUUUUAUUACUAGUUACUAGUGAAUUUUUUUUUACCAGUCAUGGGAUGUGGAACAGGAGAUGAGUGGUGGAAAGAGUGGAAAUGCGUGAAGAAGUAGUUGUUGCGAUGAAAAGAUCUAUGAAGAUAAUAGUAUAAAGGCUCUGAGAAAGUCACAUGUAUCACAAUUAAUGCGAUUAGUCCUUUGGUGUUCCAGAGAGGUAUACUGUUCAUCAUCAUCAAUGAAGGAGACAUGUAACAGAUCAUGCUCGCUAUUAUUGCUUGCAGAAGUAUAUAAUUGUCCCUGUAAUAAAAACCCCACAUAUCAAAACGAUAACUUUCGGUGGUUUUGAGAGUGUUUAAGACCAUAUACCAAGAACAGAGAAACAAAAGUAAAAAAGUGGUUCUGUACCAGUGCCAUUCGUGAUCAAUCUGUUUAGAGUCAACACCAUUAGGGUUAAUCCUUAGAGUGCGAGUCACCCAAAGCAUGUUGUUGUAAACACUCCAAAGGACAUGAACGAGUCCUUUGAGUCCACAGAUGAUGAGGAUAUGAAGACACCAUAGAGCCCUCGAGUAGUCUUGUUCGUAUGUCCAUGAGUACACUACUUGUGCUGCUAGAGGAGCGUAUAGAAGAUACUUCAUAGAUAUAGAGAAAAAUAAACACAAAAACAAUAUGAGUUUUAGAAGAUGAAACCAAAUUUUAGAAAAGAAACUGAUCAAAUUUUAUCUCUGUAAGAAAAAGAAAAACAAACCUUAAGAUUGCCAUAGCUUUCCCAAGGCCAGACUGAUAAAGUAACCAUUCUUGGGCUUCUUGUACUCUAAGAUCUCUCUCUCUCUCUUAUUGGUCUAUAACCUUAAAGAUUUCUCCAGGUUUCAAGCAAUCCUGAGAAAAAGAUGUUGCUCUGUUUGUGGAAGUGAGAGAAAGAGAGAGAAACUGAUGGGGUUCUCUCUAAUCUCAAGAAAAGAGAUGGAGAUUUUUAGUUGAGGUUUUUAAGUUCGUUGAAAGAUUUAACCAAAGCCUAGUUGUGUGACAUUAGUGAGAGCCUCGAGCUUUGUUUACUUAUAUAAGCAUUGAAACUAGGAGGGCCAACUAGACCCCAACAUUUGUUCUUUUUAUCCCUCUCUCUAAUGAAUUUUAAAUACAGUAGUAAUUUUUAAAUCAAUAUUGUGAAGAAAAUAGUUUUCACCUGAAAAUAAAACUCUUACAGCAAUCAGUAUUCAGUGAUAAUUACUUUUAACUCUGCUCAAUCGUACAACAUUCACAUGCUAGUGCAGUUUUGGUAUCAACAUUUUUACUUUGAUGAACAGUUGAUGUUUUUAUUUCGAGUAUAAUUUGGAGUUUAGGAGUUAUUUAGUUUUGCUCCAACCAAAAGAACCGGAGAAAUAAUUCAAUCUUUUCAUUUUAUUAAAACUUACAAAAUCUUAAAAAUAUAUAUAACAACCCGUAAAAUGUCACAAAGGAAUUUUGAGGCCAAUAAACAACAAUAUCAAUACAAUGGAGAAACGAAAAUUCCACAUCCAUUGAAACAAAAAGCCAAAAUUUAAAAUAUCUUUUUGAUAAUGACUACUUACAAUUUAUAAUAGUCAUUAUUAGCGUGAAAAGGAAUGUUAACAGUUUUUUAAAUAAUUUAUAAAAGUAAAUUUACAAUUUAAUAAACUUUAAUUCAACAAAUUAAUAGAGAAAAUGAGAAAUAACUAUGUUGUAAUAUAAAAUAAAUGUAACUAUUUUAACUGAAAUUAUAUAAAUACCUAAUAAAUUUUGUAUAGUAUAUAUAAAACUAAUAUAUUUUACCAAAAUUUAUGUACAAAUAUCUAAUUUUAUAUCGGAACCAAUGUAAAUCAGAAAUGUUUGCAUUGUUUUCCUAAUGUAAAUGGCCGCAAAAACAAUCAUACAUGCAAACCAAACAGAUAACUAUAGCCUAUAGGUUUGUGUAUAUCAUUAUGGACAUAAUCUUUUUUUUUCGACGAAUUUAAAUUUUAUUAAUAUGAAAGUAUAAUAUCUGAAUACAAAGUUGGAGUUAACUAUUUAGGUGGAUAAACUUUACAAUUUUCAAAAAUAGAAUUUGCUGGACCAUGGCGAACAAUUUCAUGGGCGGCUUGAUUUCCAUUACGUUUGAUAAAAGUAAAUGUUGUUGUAGAAAGCUUAUUCUUCGAGCUAGUAUAUCAUUAUGGACAUAAUCAUAAUAAAUAUUAGUAUAAUAUAGAUUUUUUGUAAUUAAAAAUGUUGAACAGUCUUGUAACUAUUUUAGUGAUUUGUUUGAAUAUCUUUUUUUAAUACUUAACGACAUAGAAGUAUAACCAAUUGAUACAAUGGCAUAGCUUCACAGCUGGAUUAUAACUAUCUCACACGCAUUUAAUUUUCGGUUUACGGUUGAAGCGGCGAUGGUUACAGAUCUUGCCCUCGGUGGCUUCUUCGUAUACUCAAAUUUGUAUUCAACUUGUCCUCUUCUUCUACUUUUCUAACAUUUACUUAAACUUUUUAUGGUUUUUCAAACCACAAAUUAAUCCGCGUUUAUGUCACGUACACUAAAGCUUAGCAACAAAAGUUUUAAGCGCCUAAAAUAUAUCACGUGUAUAAAAGCAUUACUUAAUUAUCAUUUUAGAUUUGAACAUACAAAUUAUAAAAAUUUCUAAUUUUGUAUAUUUAUUAAAUAAAAACAUCAUUAAUAAAAAGAUAAAUUGGAAUAAAAAAUUAAUAAAUGAUACUUAUUUUGAAACAUCAAUUUUAUCUACAACGAAAACUAAACCGAAAAAAAAAGAAAGAACCAAUUUUGCUUUGGACAACAUUUACUAUAGGGUGCGUACAAUAGUGGUACUAUAAAAAUGUUAAUAGGGGUCAGGAUUUAAGAUUCAUAUAAAUGCCAUGAGUAAAAGAAUCAAAUGAUUCAAAUCGAAAGACUAGUAAAAAAAUAAAUCAUAAGCUAUAUAAUGUCAGCCAUUUAAUGCCUUGGCAAGAAAAAUCAUGUUUGUAUGCAGUUGCUAAUUUCCAUGUUUUGAUGUUCUCAUAUCUAGUUGGAAGUUAAUUUUAACAACUAAUUAAUGCGUAUAACACAUUAAACACCCUAAAAGCAUGUUCAGACUUGAAAACUAUACUACAAAAAGAAUAGUCUAAAACACACCGACUCGAUUGUGGUUACCAUGAUAAUAGGAACAUUACUGCCAAUUCAUUUGCAGUAUCUUCGAAAUGGAGUCACAUAUUGGACUGGCCAAGCUUAUGCAUGAUUGUAUGGAUCAAUACGGUCCAAGCAAUCGAACUGGAUAUAGUGAUCCUAAAUUAUACAAUUAAUAUUAAUAAUUUUUAAUUAUACAAUUAUUUCCGUUUAAAAUUUGUAAAAUCAUGAAUUAGAGAAUUAAUUAUGUCGGUGUUAGAAAUAAUGGUAGUUAGCGAAACUGAGUAUCAAUAAGGUAAAAACAUAAGCUAUUACUAUUAGCUCACUCCAUGCAAAACAUCAUAUAUUUUGCAGUAAACAAUUGAAUAAAAAUCAUUGCUAUGUGUGAUUAGUUUUAAAUUAAAAAUUCAUAAAAAAAUAUAAGUAAUCAUUUUGUACGUAGUGGUCAUUGGUUUAUUUAUGAUACAUAAUUAGGCCUAUACAUAAUAUAUUAACAAAUUAUAUGAAUGUGUUGAAAUAAGUCCCUUAAACACUGAUAUACACACAGAUGUGUGUCCUUCUUCUUAUAGGAUAGACAGGAAGGUGGAAUAUCGAAAGAAGGGGUUUAGAUUUAUCGUUUUGUAAGUUUAGGUUACUAUUUAAACCAUCCAAAAAGUGUAGAACCCCCAUAAUAGGAAACUGCAUUUGUUCAAACUGAAAAUAUAGAUGAAAGUAACAAAAGAUACGGAGCAUAUUGUUGAUCUUCAUUUUGUGGUCGUCAAAAAUAUUUUGGAUGUCUCUUUAUUGAUCUUGUAUCACAAGAUUCACAACGAAACUCCAACUGACUCUGAAAAGGAAACCACUUGAUAAAAUGAAUGUUUAUAAGAAAAAUGGAAAAACAUUUUACAAAAUUGUUAUCACACAUAAAUAUAAAUUUAUGUUCUUAAAAACCUAUAAAUGAUUAGACAGAUAAGUUGAUAACAAUGAUAAGUAUACAAAAUUGGCAUACUUGAAAACUAUAGAUGGUACUAUAUGGAAUAUAUAUAUUAACUUACUUUAUUAAUCCGGUUACAAGACAUCUGCAUAUUAUUAUAGGUUUCACUAAUGCAUGUUGAGCUACCCUGUGUACAUGUAUUGCGAGUUGGAUUAAGCAUGGUCUGAGUUUAUGCGCUGAGCCAUAUGUGGUUCUCCAGUGUCCACCGUGGUCAUAUACAUAUAGUAUAUAUUACAAAUUUAAAAGCCAAAUUAAAGAGAAGAUGGGGUCGACACAUUUGUAAUCAAUACAUAGGUUAGCCAGCCAAGUUCUUGAUUUAUGCGACUUUUAUUUAGUCGGUGAGGAGUUUACACGCCAGAUCAUAUGCUAAGGAGUUUACACGCCAGAUCAUAUACUACUAGAGUGUAUUCAGAAUCAUUAUAGGUAAAUUCAAAAAAAAUUAAUAUGUUUUUAGGUAAAUGAUUUAAAAUAUCUUCUAUAACUAUAUGAUUUGAAGUAUUAUUUUUAAUUAAAAACGCCCCAAAAAAUCUAUAAAAUUAUUAAAGGGUGAAUAAUCUAUUUUUCAAUAACUGAUAAACUGAAAAUUUUAAUAUAAUUUCAGUUUAAUCAUUUUAACAUUUCAUCUAUAGCUAUAUAAUUUGAAUUAUUAUUUUUCAAUUAAAAAACUAUAUAAAACGAAAGUAUUUUUCUUGAUUAUAAUAUAAAUCACAUUGAUUAAUUAGUCGGCUGGAGUCGUUUGCAAAAUCACCACCCAACGCCCAUAUUCUUAUGUACAUAGCCUAUAAGAGAUAAGAAGGC